GAACUUACCAGCUAAGGAGGUUUCACAUAAAACGUUUUCCAAGGAGCUGUGUCUACCCUGGCCAGCCUCCUUGAGUUUAUCUGGGUGGUCUUUUGUGACGUAUUCUUCACCCCAUUCUUUACCAUCCUUAGGCUGCCUCCACAUGCCAGAUGGGAGAUGGCCCUUGGACUGGAUAUCAGCCGAGAGGUGAGCACACCAGAUGCUGGAGCACUCCUGGGAAGAGAAACAGAAAGAGGAGGAGGAAGGGUGCCAAAAACAAUGUCUUAUUUGGCCAUUUUUCCCUUGACCCUAAUGCUAGAAAGGAAGGAGAGAGGGAAGCUUAAAUAAUUUAUAAAAUCCUGGUGAAUUGUCAAUUAAGUAAAUCCUUUUUAAAAUUUUGUUUUCUUUUAUCUUCUUUUGUUUCUUUUCUAUUAUUUAGUCCUUUAUUACCUGCACUACACAGAUGUAAAAGUAGGUAACUUUUGAAUUAAACUAUACAGUGUGUGAUCCACGGAAAACUUACAUCAUGCUACAUUCACCUGCAAGUUUUUGGCAAAUGUGAAUUUAUUAGUCAUUGAAAUAAGCCAGAAAAAAUGAAACAUACUGGUUUUGUCUUAAGCUUCCCUAGCCCUUCUCUCUCCUUGGUUCAAAUGAGUCACUGACCUGCUCUAGUACACAUCUUGGAAUCUUCGUAACUUCAUAACUUUAUCUUUUGUGAGUUCUUUCAUGCCUGGUUUGAAACUAAGGAAGUGGAAGCAGGGAAGAUAGAAGUGGAAAAUAAUGGAAUUGCUGGAAGAAAAGAAAACUAAGAGAAGAGUCACUUACCAGGACCCAUCAUUCCUUUUACAUUACUGUCUCCUACAUGAACAGAUCUGGACUCUUGGGCUGCAGAGAAAGGAAAGCAUUCAUUCAGCGUUCAUUCCACUAACAUGGACUAAGCACCUUCCACGAGCCUGGCACUGGGGGCAGACUCAGAGAUUGUAGUUUCAUGGGGGAGGCAGAGC
rnacentral:lncRNA from 10 species